UCUGGUGUCCUAGGCGUAGAGGAACCACACCAAUCCAUCCCGAAUUUGGUGGUUAAACUUUACUGCGGUGACGAUACUGUAGGGGAGGUCCUGCGACAAAAUAGCUCGAUGCCAGAA
rnacentral:rRNA from 1 species